rnacentral:misc_RNA from 1 species
GUAACAAGGUUUCCGUAGGUGAACCUGCGGAAGGAUCAUUACCGAGUGCGGGCUGCCUCCGGGCGCCCAACCUCCCACCCGUGACUACCUAACACUGUUGCUUCGGCGGGGAGCCCCCCAGGGGGCGAGCCGCCGGGGACCACUGAACUUCAUGCCUGAGAGUGAUGCAGUCUGAGCCUGAAUACAAAUCAGUCAAAACUUUCAACAAUGGAUCUCUUGGUUCCGGCAUCGAUGAAGAACGCAGCGAACUGCGAUAAGUAAUGUGAAUUGCAGAAUUCAGUGAAUCAUCGAGUCUUUGAACGCACAUUGCGCCCCCUGGCAUUCCGGGGGGCAUGCCUGUCCGAGCGUCAUUGCUGCCCUCAAGCCCGGCUUGUGUGUUGGGUCGUCGUCCCCCCCCCGGGGGACGGGCCCGAAAGGCAGCGGCGGCACCGUGUCCGGUCCUCGAGCGUAUGGGGCUUUGUCACCCGCUCGAUUAGGGCCGGCCGGGCGCCAGCCGGCGUCUCCAACCUUAUUUUUCUCAGGUUGACCUCGGAUCAGGUAGGGAUACCCGCUGAACCUAAGC